rnacentral:rRNA from 1 species
GAUGAACGCUGGCGGCGUGCCUAAUACAUGCAAGUCGAGCGGACAGACGAGGCGCUUGCUCCUCUCACGUUUGCGGAGGACGUGUGAGUAACACGUGGAUAACCUCCCUAUCAUACUGGGAUCACUUCGGGACACCGGAUCUAAUCCCGUAUGAUCUCUUGAACCGCAUGGUUCAAUAGUAAAUGACGGUUUUGCUGUCUCUUAUAGCGGUAUCCCGGCCGCAUUAGAUAGUUGGUAAGGUCACGGCUUACCAAGGCGACGCUGCGUAGCCGACCUGAGAGAGUGAUCGGCCACACGGGAACGGAGACGCGGUCCAGACGCCUAAGGGAGGCAGCAGUAGGGAAUCUUCCGCAAUGGGCGAAAGCCUGACGGAGCAACGCCGCGUGAGUGAUGAAGGUCUUCGGAUCGUAAAACUCUGUUAUGAGGGAAGAACAAAUGUGUAAGUAACUAUGCACGUCUUGACGGUACCUAAUCAGAAAGCCACGGCUAACUACGUG